rnacentral:rRNA from 1 species
UACAGAGGCCUCGAGCGUUAGGCGGAAUCACUGGGCUUAAAGCGUGUGUAGGCGGACUUCUAAGUACCUUGUGAAAUCCCACGGCUCACCCGUGGAACUGCUUGGUAUACUGGUUGUCUUGAGCCUUCUAGGGGCGAGUGGAACAAAUGGUGGAGCGGUGAAAUGCGUAGAUAUCAUUUGGAACGCCAAUGGUGAAAACAACUCGCUGGGGAAGUGCUGACGCUGAGACACGAAAGCCAGGGGAGCGAACCGG